GCUGACCGUACUACCUCGGAGGCUAAGCUUUUACGGCCAUCAAGUGUGAAUGUCAAGCGUGCAGGAGUAACGAAGGGCGCUAAAGAUGGCGGCGAGCAACGCCAUCGUAAAGUCUAUAAGAACCAAUCUCCACAAUCUUCUGGCGACGCCGAGCCGAAUUCAGCGUGGCGUACGGAGAUGCGACGCGGCACGCAUGCGCUGAGGGACGUGAAAAACCAUCUUGCGGAUUUACAUCAGAAAGCUCUAUCAGGAACUUGGGGUGCCGAAGAAGUCCGCGCAGCAACAACGCGGGCCGCACAACUCUUACGCGAAGCCGAAAGGCUUCAAAGUAGGGCCGCGGAGCUUCAGAACAGCAGUGACCCUGUCUCUCGGAGUCCUGAUCGAGUGUCUAGAAGUCCUAA